UGUGACUUUCACUUUCCUGACAACUCUCAC
rnacentral:piRNA from 1 species